GAGGAAGCAUUUAUUAGAUAAAAAGCCAAUGCAUGCUUUUACAGUAUGAAAAUUGGUGAUUUAUAAUAACUUAGCAAAUCGUAAAGUGAAAACAGACGAUAAAUCAUUCAAGUUUCUGACCUAUCAGCUUUCGACGGUAUGGUAUUGGCUUACCGUGGCAGUGACGGUUAACGGGGGAUUAGGGUUCGAUUCCGGAGAGGGAGCCUGAGAAACGGCUACCACAUCUAAGGAAGGCAGCAGGCGCGCAAAUUACCCAAUUCUAACAGUUUGAGAGAGGUAGUAACAAGAAAUAACAAUACAAGGCAGUUAAAAUGCUUUGUAAUUGGAAUGAUAGAAAUUUAAACCCUUUUUAAAGUAUCAAUUGGAGGGCAAGUCUGGUGCCAGCAGCCGCGGUAAUUCCAGCUCCAAUAGCGUAUAUUAAAAUUGUUGCAGUUAAAAAGCUCGUAGUUGAAGUUCUGCUAAAAGUAACCGGUCUGCUUUUAAUAAAAGUGGUAUCUUGGUAUGUAUUUAGCAAUGAUGUCCUUUGAAGUGUUUUUUACUUUAUUGUAAUAAAGCAUAUUCAGGACUUUUACUUUGAGAAAAUUAGAGUGUUUCUAGCAGGCCGACGCUUUGAAUACUGCAGCAUGG
rnacentral:rRNA from 1 species